rnacentral:misc_RNA from 1 species
CUGCUCCUCCAUGGCUGUGAGCUUGACGUCCCCUUCUUCCUCUCCUCCCCCAUUUCCCUCUAUCGGCCAUUAGGCCUCUGCUCGUGCCUCUCCAUCGCACAAGUGCAGGAGACCUAUCCGUGGGUUGGGGUCAGGGUUUUCCCUGGGUGGCCUCGCCGAGAGCAGCAGGUCGAGUUUCCCUUGUCCAUGGCGCGGCAUCUCCAAUGGCGCACCCCUUCUCUUCCCUGCCGCGGCCAGGAAACGCCCGGGACUCGUGCCCUCUCUCUAGUUUGGGUGGAGCAGCGCCUCCCCCUGCUAUCUCCUCACCGACACCCCUUCGAGAUGGCGCCCAACAGCCUCGACACCUUCCCCUGCUUCGUCUCGCUGCCACCGUUGUGCGUGUGCCAAGUGCUCGGCAAAAUGUUGAGGGAGACGUGUUGUUGCAGCACCGUCGACGCUCAUCGGUGGUUUGCUGUUUUUGCGCAGCCCCAUCCGCGACGCCGUUGA